rnacentral:rRNA from 1 species
AGUGAACGCUGGCGGUAGGCCUAACACAUGCAAGUCGAACGGCAGCACAGUAAGAGCUUGCUCUUACGGGUGGCGAGUGGCGGACGGGUGAGGAAUACAUCGGAAUCUACUUUUUCGUGGGGGAUAACGUAGGGAAACUUACGCUAAUACCGCAUACGACCUACGGGUGAAAGCAGGGGAUCUUCGGACCUUGCGCGAUUGAAUGAGCCGAUGUCGGAUUAGCUAGUUGGCGGGGUAAAGGCCCACCAAGGCGACGAUCUGUAGCUGGUCUGAGAGGAUGAUCAGCCACACUGGAACUGAGACACGGUCCAGACUCCUACGGGAGGCAGCAGUGGGGAAUAUUGGACAAUGGGCGCAAGCCUGAUCCAGCCAUACCGCGUGGGUGAAGAAGGCCUUCGGGUUGUGAAGCCCUUUUGUUGGGAAAGAAAAGCAGCAGGUUAAUACCCCGCUGUUCUGACGGUACCCAAAGAAUAAGCACCGGCUAACUUCGUG